AGAGUUUGAUCCUGGCUCAGGACGAACGCUGGCGGCACGCUUAACACAUGCAAGUCGAACGAGAGAAGAGGAGCUUGCUUUUCUGAUCUAGUGGCGGACGGGUGAGUAACACGUGAGCAAUCUGCCUUUCAGAGGGGGAUACCGAUUGGAAACGAUCGUUAAUACCGCAUAACAUAAUUGAACCGCAUGAUUUGAUUAUCAAAGAUUUAUCGCUGAAAGAUGAGCUCGCGUCUGAUUAGCUAGUUGGUAAGGUAACGGCUUACCAAGGCGACGAUCAGUAGCCGGACUGAGAGGUUGCUCGGCCACAUUGGGACUGAGACACGGCCCAGACUCCUACGGGAGGCAGCAGUGGGGAAUAUUGCACAAUGGAGGAAACUCUGAUGCAGCGAUGCCGCGUGAGGGAAGAAGGUUUUAGGAUUGUAAACCUCUGUCUUCAGGGACGAAAAAAGACGGUACCUGAGGAGGAAGCUCCGGCUAACUACGUGCCAGCAGCCGCGGUAAUACGUAGGGAGCGAGCGUUGUCCGGAAUUACUGGGUGUAAAGGGAGCGUAGGCGAGAUCGCAAGUCAGAUGUGAAAACUAUGGGCUUAACCCAUAAACUGCAUUUGAAACUGUGGUUCUUGAGUGAAGUAGAGGUAAGCGGAAUUCCUAGUGUAGCGGUGAAAUGCGUAGAUAUUAGGAGGAACAUCAGUGGCGAAGGCGGCUUACUGGGCUUUAACUGACGCUGAGGCUCGAAAGCGUGGGGAGCAAACAGGAUUAGAUACCCUGGUAGUCCACGCCGUAAACGAUGAUUACUAGGUGUGGGGGGACUGACCCCUUCCGUGCCGCAGCAAACGCAAUAAGUAAUCCACCUGGGGAGUACGACCGCAAGGUUGAAACUCAAAGGAAUUGACGGGGGCCCGCACAAGCAGUGGAGUAUGUGGAUUAAUUCGAAGCAACGCGAAGAACCUUACCAGGUCUUGACAUCGUAUGCAUAGCUCAGAGAUGAGUGAAAUCUCUUCGGAGACAUAUAGACAGGUGGUGCAUGGUUGUCGUCAGCUCGUGUCGUGAGAUGUUGGGUUAAGUCCCGCAACGAGCGCAACCCUUACUGUUAGUUGCUACGCAAGAGCACUCUAGCAGGACUGCCGUUGACAAAACGGAGGAAGGUGGGGAUGACGUCAAAUCAUCAUGCCCCUUAUGACCUGGGCCUCACACGUACUACAAUGGCUGUCAACAGAGGGAAGCAAAGCCGCGAGGUGGAGCGAACCCCUAAAAGCAGUCUUAGUUCGGAUUGUAGGCUGCAACCCGCCUACAUGAAGUCGGAAUUGCUAGUAAUCGCAGAUCAGCAUGCUGCGGUGAAUACGUUCCCGGGCCUUGUACACACCGCCCGUCACGCCAUGGGAGUCGGUAACACCCGAAGCCUGUAGUCUAACCGCAAGGAGGACGCAGUCGAAGGUGGGAUUGAUGACUGGGGUGAAGUCGUAACAAGGUA
rnacentral:rRNA from 1 species